rnacentral:lncRNA from 12 species
AGCCUCAAGGGAAGGAUUCUAACAGUCUAGCAAACAUUGAGAUGACUAAGAACUAACAACCAGAGUCCUGUUACUGCAGUGAGGUUAAGGCUAGUUCUGAGCUCCACGUUUCCUGGUGCUGGAAUCCUCCCUUACCUAGCUAGUGUCACUACUGGAAGAGAGAUGCUUCAUUCCUAUUCCUCUACCCACCCAACAGAUACUGUGAGGUCUUACCUUGGUGAUUCCAGAAUUCUAAAAUAAAUGGAAAGAGCCUCAACUAUCAAACUGACAAUGCAGCCAACUUCACCUACCUGGUGGGAGAGGUUGCAUCAAGCAUUCUCAAGCAGCAAACCUCACAGCUUCUUUGCUCACUGAAUCCCUUCCCUCAUCGCCAGGUAGCAAGUCCUUGAUGAAAGACUUGAUUGGCUCAGCUUUAACCAGAGGCCAUUCCCAGGACCAUUCAAAAAACCAGAGGUGGGGCCAGGUAAGCUUUUUGUAGCUACUGUAGAAACACAGAUGGGAGAAGGGAUGCCAUUUGGCUGACAAGACUGAAGAUUUCUGAACCAGAAUAAGAAUUGACUGAAUUUGCUCAGGAUUUAUUUCUUCUUUAAGUUAGGGAAAUGGUCCUAAUCAGAUAAUAACUGAAUAUGAAUCAAGUAAGAACCCUUCAACAGAGUGAGCAGUUUUAAAUUAGGAAAGAAAUCAUUAAAGGGUCUUGGCUUUUAUGUUGGUAGUUUGGCAAUAAACUUGUAUACAAAAUAUCUCA